UUUUUUAUAUAUUUAUGCUGCGCGCGUGGAACAUGGCGCGGGUGUGCGUUAAAAUAUUACACACGGUUUCGAAUGUUUUGACGUUUCCGGUAAGUUUUAGCUUGCGGCUCAUUAUUCACGCGUCUACGGGCGGAUAAGAAGUGCUGGCAGAAGUAACGCGUUCCGAAAGGGGUAGAAACGGUGGUAAAACUCUGUUGGUGCGGUAGAGAGGGGGUUGAGUAUGCAUUAUUAGGCGGCGGUGCCAAAGAAGGUAAGGUCGUGUUUAUCGUGGAGCUGGGAGGGGCAAGCAUAAGGGACGAAGUUGGGGAAACAUGUCGGAUGCGAUCAUACCAGCACUAAAGCACCGGAUCCCAUCAGAACUCCGAAGUUAAGCGCGCUUGGGCGAGAGUAGUACUAGGAUGGGUGACCUCGUGGGAAGUCCUCGUGUUGCAUUCCC
rnacentral:rRNA from 1 species